rnacentral:rRNA from 1 species
UACGUAGGGCGCAAGCGUUGUCCGGAUUUAUUGGGCGUAAAGAGCUCGUAGGCGGUGUGUCGCGUCGGCCGUGAAAACCUGCAGCUUAACUGUGGGCUUGCGGUCGAUACGGGCAUCACUGGAGUUCGGCAGGGGAGACUGGAAUUCCUGGUGUAGCGGUGAAAUGCGCAGAUAUCAGGAGGAACACCGGUGGCGAAGGCGGAUCUCUGGGCCUUACCUGACGCUGAGGCGCGAAAGCUAGGGGAGCGAACAGG